AGCUCCUUCCACCUACCGCGCUUUCUAAAUUGUAAAAUUCCCCCAAGAUCUACCUAGGAAUCUCGUGCCUCCGCCGCCGCCGCCGCCGCCGCUUGCCCCACGCCAUCACCAAGGUCUUCCACCGCGGCCGCCCGCCGCUUGCCUCGCACCCACCUCUCCUCGGGAUCUCGCCCAGUCUCCGCAGGAUCUAGUGGCCAUCGUCGUGGUCCUCCUAAGCGCUGGUGAGGGGCUGCUCCUCUGCUCCCGGACCAGAUCGUGGCGGCGGCGGCGAAGCGGCCCGCGGAGUCAUCCACCUCCUUCCGUAGCUUGGUCGUCCCCACCACCUCCUCCACGGCCCUCUCCGCGGUGCAGCGCCCGCAGAAGAGGCCUCGGCACCAGGACGCGGACGAGGCAUGCCUCGCCGCAUCCAAGUGCUCGGAGGUCAUCAGGGGCGCAAGGACGCGCCCCGUGGAGGUCGACGUCUCAGAGUCCUCAUGCCUCGGCUCCGCCCUUGAGUCCGACUUGGCCAGCCCCGACGAUGCCGAGAUGACGGAUUACUGGUCGGCCUGCGGCGAGCUGACCUCAUCCUCCUGCUCGACCUCUCCCGAUGUCUCCAUGAAGAGGGGAAGUGAUUCGAGGACUUGGACGACCAAGAGUGCUACAAGUAGUUCCGGUUGUGCGAACAACAACGAGUGGUGGCGUGCGAGUACGCUGAGGUGAACAGAAACCAUGGCCAUGCCUUCAUGGAGCAGUGUUUUGUCAUGGUGAACUGGAUCAUAGAGGUCACUAGGCUAUCAUCAUUGGACAAGUUUAUGGAGUAUCAUGCUGCAAACCCAGGGUAGGUUAUUUAGAAGGGUGGAUGGCCUGCCACGCAAUGAGUUCAAUCACACCGAACUCAAGAAGAUCACAUCUGACACCAUUUCGUUCGAGGACUUCACUCAUAGAUUGAGAACUUUGAUACUAGGAAUUUGAUACCAUGUUUAGGCCAGAGAUUUAAUUUUUUGCAAAUGCAUUGCAUUGAAUGCCAUGAACACAUGUUCUUCUAGCAAUAGCCUAAAGUUUGCUGUUACAUGUGCACUCUGUGUGUUAUUAUUCAACUCCUAGGUUAUGUUUGCUGCUGCUUGUAAAUAAGGAGUAUUGCUCCUAAAAUUUGUCGAACCACUAUGUUUCUACUGAGAUAUCUUAUGAUUUUGAGAGAUUAUGUCUUA